rnacentral:misc_RNA from 1 species
AAAUUUCUAACCUCUCUAACUUUGUUCACGGUGGACCGCUCCACCCGUCAGUAUGGUAAAAGAAUCCCUGCCGCACAGCGCCGAGUUCUUACACCCGCCUUUCUGGGUGAGCUACGUCAUCAUUAGUUGCUCUACCCACAAGGAACACCCAGCACGUGGGGUAGGGCAACCAAUCACGAAUAGGAAGUUUUCGAUGACGCACCAUCUUUGGCUCUUAUAUGGAUUGCAGAUAAACAAUUACCACUACCACCCUCUCCGUUGCUGUAGUCAGGGGACGGGUUCAAUCGAAGAGCUCUGUGUUCAUACAAGAAACUAAAGCAGUGGCUGCCGCGACCCACGGUACAUGAGAACAUCAAGCCUAGUUGCAGCGACCUGUUUCUGCGAAUCCUAACUGACAGGAACUCUUCCUUCCUGUACCACAGUAGAUAAACCCAUUGGCGCUGCCAGUGUGAUGAAGGAUACCCUUCUGUGUCUCUCCACCGAUGGACCAAGUUCGUGAGUUGAUGAAUCAUUGUUCGGUGCCAUCCACGUCCGACGCUACAGCCACCACUGUCCCAGGUCCUGGCGGGGCUCCUUCUGCUCCUCCGGUACCAGUGGGGUGCCUCGGAAAUCGCAUGCUGUCACGCAACGUAAAUGGCACAGGUUACAGCGGAAGGAUGUAUGGAGAGCAUCACAACGCCCCCUGCCGGCAACCAGCAUUCGGACAACAAGGAACCAUUUGGCUCUUCAAGGUUGUUCUUACACACUGAGAAACGAAGAAAAAAAAUAAUUCUUCAGGAAGUCAUUGAUUCCUCUCUUAAACUCCUGUAAAGUAUUGGCCUACACUACUGCCGACGGCAACUCAUUCUAUAAGUCAAUCACCUUGUUAGAAAAAUAAAACUU